rnacentral:rRNA from 1 species
UACGUAGGAAGCAAGCGUUGCCCGGAAUUACUGGGCGUAAAGAGCUCGUAGGCGGGGGCGUGCGUCCGAGAAGAAAUCUCAAGGCUCAACCUUGGGGCUAUCUCGGAUACGGCGCUUCUUGAGGGUGAGAGAGGAAAGCGGAAUUCCAGGUGUAGCGGUGAAAUGCGUAGAUAUCUGGAGGAACACCAGCGGCGAAGGCGGCUUUCUGGCUCAUUCCUGACGCUGAGGAGCGAAAGCGUGGGUAGCGAACGGG